rnacentral:rRNA from 3 species
UCCCACCUGACCCCAUGCCGAACUCAGAAGUGAAACGCCGUAGCGCCGAUGGUAGUGUGGGGUCUCCCCAUGUGAGAGUAGGGAACUGCCAGAC